GGGGAAUUUUCCGCAAUGGGCGAAAGCCUGACGGAGCAAGACCGCGUGAGGGAAGAAGGCUCUUGGGUCGUAAACCUCUUUUAUCAGGGAAGAAAAAAAUGACGGUACCUGAAGAAUCAGCCUCGGCUAACUCCGUGCCAGCAGCCGCGGUAAUACGGAGGAGGCAAGCGUUAUCCGGAAUUAUUGGGCGUAAAGCGUCCGCAGGUGGCUUAUCAAGUCUGCUGUCAAAGAGUGGGGCUUAACCCCAUAAAGGCAGUGGAAACUGAGAAGCUAGAGUGCCGUAGGGGUAGAGGGAAUUCCCGGUGUAGCGGUGAAAUGCGUAGAGAUCGGGAAGAACAUCGGUGGCGAAAGCGCUCUACUGGACGGCAACUGACACUCAGGGACGAAAGCUAGGGGAGCGAAUGGGAUUAGAUACCCCAG
rnacentral:rRNA from 1 species